GCAUCUAUGGAGUAGAAGUUAACUCGUCCCUCUCCCAUUUGAAUAAAUGGGGCUUGGGGAAAACCCGGGUGCAAAUCCCGGUGGAUGCA